rnacentral:rRNA from 1 species
CUUAAGGAAUUGACGGGGCCCGCACAAGCGGUGGAACAUGUGGUUUAAUUCGAUGAUACGCGAGGAACCUUACCUGGGCUUAAAUGUAGAGUGCAUUUUUUUAGAGAUAGAAAUUCCCUUCGGGGCUUUCUGCAAGGUGCUGCAUGGUUGUCGUCAGCUCGUGCCGUGAGGUGUCGGGUUAAGUCCCAUAACGAGCGCAACCCUUAUCGUUAGUUGCCAUCUGGUAAUGCAGGGGACUCUAGCGAAACUGCCACGUAAGGUGAGAGGAAGUGGGGAUGACGUCAAAUCAGCACGGCCCUUAUGUCCAGGGCUACACACGUGUUACAAUGGUCGGUACAGAGGGCAGCUACCUGGUGACAGGAUGCUAAUCUCGAAAACCGGUCUCAGUUCGGAUCGAAGUCUGCAACUCGACUUCGUGAAGCUGGAUUCGCUAGUAAUCGCGCACCAGCUAUGGCGCGGUGAAUACGUUCCCGGGCCUU